rnacentral:lncRNA from 1 species
CAUCCUAGUGGAGAGGGGCAGACAGCUCAUCAUAGUGGGGAAGGGCAGACAGCUUGUCACAGAGGGGAAAUGCAAUGGCAGCAGCUUUGUGUCAGAGGGCUGUUCACACGGUAGUAGAUAAAAGUGGAGAACAUGGCUGGAAUCUUCACAAGAUUGCUCCUAGUGAUCUACUUCUGCCAGGCCUCACACGGAAGAAGAAAAAAAACUAUCUUGCUUUUGGGAAGAAAACCAACUAAACCAAAAAACCCGUCAAGCUUAGUGGCUCGUGUGCACGAUUCCCUCCUGACAGGAGCUGAGUACUCAGCAGCCCUGAGCCCAAGCUGAAUCGGAAGUGUCAGCAAACCCCUGCAGACACAGGGAACUGCAAACUGCUUUUUCUGAUGUCAGGACUUCUCCUCAGGGAGCUCACUCUGCUGCAUUUGCUCAUGGCCAGAAGACUCAUCCGGCAGGAGAAAGGUAUAUGGGUUGCUGUCUACUACUGUUGGCUUUAACAUCAACAGCUGAGUGGCAAGUCAAACACGUGGACACCACCUUGUAUUCUGAAAUUCACUGAUCCAACAGUGUGGGAAUCUAGAUGAACAGGGAGGAAGCCUGUGUGUGAGAGUUCUACCAUCCCCGCCCCUGCCUCUCCCAUUCUGCUCAUAGA